GAGGAAUCGUUUCAGCCCUAAUAACAACAUAACCGGCAACAAGAUUAAAAUACAAGCUUAAAAUCUUCCUAAUUAGCUUCAGUUAAAUGCUUUAAAAUAAGAACUGCUCAAUGUUUCUGAUGCUAUUAAAUUAAAAUAAAAAAUGUUUCUGUUCUUUUUUAGUUUAAAUCUAUUCUAAUCUGCAUAAUUUCCAUUUACUUUGUGCUAAUCGUGUCACCAUCAACAGAAAAGAUGAGCUACGUUUGAGUUGGUGCCACGGGCCGCACAGAAUCACGCCAAGGGCCCCACGUGGCCCCCGAGCCACACUUUGGACACCCUGACAUAGGACAUGAGGAGUUUUGUCUCCGCUGUGUUGGUUUCGGGGGAAAAUUAAAACAUUUUCAGGCGUUUCAGUGAGUUUUUCUGCUAUUUAGCGUCAGAAUUAACUCUAAUUAUUAUUAUUUGUGUCGUCUUGAUAUUUCAGGCGAAUCGCAGAGAAAAGCCGGUUUAGCGACGUUUUAAAAUAAAAUUCACCUGCAGAUAAAACGUUUGACUGACUUCAUUAAUUCUGAUGUUUCUACAUUUUUAAUCAUCUGCAUAAUUAAAACUUAUGAAGUCCAGAUAAUUAGCAAUGCUAACAUGCUAACAUGUUAGCAUUGCUAACAUGCUAGCAUGAAUGCUUAACGUAGCUUCAGUUCACUUUAUUUCAAUGCAAGACCAAAUCUACCUGAGAACUUGGCAAACUAUAACAGAAAACAUUCAUUUCAUAAAGUUUUUAUUAUGUUUCUCUGAUUGUUCAACAGAGUCACUCAGAGUUCAGGAGGCCUAAAAAUAAAAAUAUCACGGUGAGGAAACGCACAGUCCGUCACCGAGGCGACAAUCAACCAGAUUUACUGCUGAAGCUGGAAAAGACGGAGGCGGACCGGACCGGACCGGACGGGACUGAAAGACCAGAAGAACAUAGAAAACUUUACAAACUACAGUUAUUUUAGCCUGUAAACUGAAAUGUUUAGUUUUUCUGUUUGAUUUUAGACGUAGUAACAGCGAGAACUAAACACCAAGUUACAGAACAAA